AAGUCGUAACAAGGUUUCCGUAGGUGAACCUGCGGAAGGAUCAUUAAUGAAACUUCAAGUCGGCUGUUCUGUGCUGGUGGCAACACAUGUGCACGUUCAGUCGCAAUCCACACACCUGUGCCCUUUGACUCUGAGCACCGCCUGUAACACGGCAGAAGGUUUAAGAUGAAGGUCUUAACCUGGUACUCGAGUAGUUUACACACUCUGUAUGUAAUAGAAUGUAACUGUACAAUGUACAACCAUAAACAACUUUCAACAACGGAUCUCUUGGCUCUC
rnacentral:misc_RNA from 1 species